GAUGAACGCUGGCGGCGUGCCUAACACAUGCAAGUCGAGCGAUUUACUUCGGUAAGGAGCGGCGGACGGGUGAGUAACGCGUGGGUAACCUGCCCUGUACACACGGAUAACAUACCGAAAGGUAUGCUAAUACGAGAUAAUAUGCUUUUAUCGCAUGGUAGAAGUAUCAAAGCUUUUGCGGUACAGGAUGGACCCGCGUCUGAUUAGCUAGUUGGUGAGGUAACGGCUCACCAAGGCGACGAUCAGUAGCCGACCUGAGAGGGUGAUCGGCCACAUUGGAACUGAGACACGGUCCAAACUCCUACGGGAGGCAGCAGUGGGGAAUAUUGCACAAUGGGCGAAAGCCUGAUGCAGCAACGCCGCGUGAGCGAUGAAGGCCUUCGGGUCGUAAAGCUCUGUCCUCAAGGAAGAUAAUGACGGUACUUGAGGAGGAAGCCCCGGCUAACUACGUG
rnacentral:rRNA from 1 species